CUUACUUUGAUUAUCUGGAGUUCUGAUGAACAUGAUUUCACUGUAAAGAUAGCAGUAAUAACAGGAUAAUGCAUGAGUCUAGCAGAUGACUGAACAUUCCUGUAUAUUUUUAUUUUUAUUUUUUACUGAACAGAGUGUUGAGCAUCUUUCAGAACGUUAAGGUACAAGACCACGGAUAGAGCUCUACAGGGUUCUUGAGCUCCUAGAAGUAUGCUGUCAAUAGGCAGAACUGUGGUCAAAAACAGGUCAUGUCUGGAGCUGGAUGUGGAUCGGGCUGAGGAACAGUGGCUGCUGGAUCAGAAGUAGUUCCACAUGUGACAAUAAUCUAACGUUUCCUGGUAUAACAUAAUAAUGUUCUGCUUUAGUGAAGUGACAAAAUGAUGUAAUGAAGCAUGAGUAAAUGCUGAACUAUUUUUUUAAAGAAUGACUUGGCUGCCAAAGCUUAUGUUGAUUCCAUGAGACAAAUAUGUGUUCGUCAAUAUGAAAUAUUUACUUCAAGCUGGUGGUAUUAAUUUAUCACUGACUCUUGUUUGUUGCAGUAAUGAAACAUAUUGUUAAACGUGAUUGAAUAAAAACAUGAA